AUAAAGAAAGUAAAAAAGGGCGCAUGGCGGAUGCCUUGGCUCUCGGAGGCGAUGAAGGACGUGAUAAGCUGCGAUAAGCUUUGGGGAGGUGCAAAUGACCUUUGAUCCAGAGAUUUCCGAAUGGGACAACCCAAUAUCUUGAAGAGGUAUUAUCCAACGUUGUUGGAGGCUAACGCAGGGAACUGAAACAUCUUAGUACCUGCAGGAAAAGAAAAUAAACAAUGAUUCCCCCAGUAGUGGCGAGCGAACGGGGAACAGCCCAAACCAUCCAUGUUACGGCAUGGGUGGGGUUGUAGGACUACGCCGUUGCAUGAAGACAUCAGAGAAGAACUUUCUGGAAAGAAAGACCAUAGAGCAUGACAGUUGCGUAUUCGAAUGUUGUCGAAGCAUAGUAGUAUCCUGAGUAGCGCGGAGCACGAGGAAUUCUGCGUGAAUCUGCCGGGACCAUCCGGUAAGGCUAAAUACUCCCGAGAGACCGAUAGCGAACCAGUACCGUGAGGGAAAGGUGAAAAGCACUUCGAACAGAAGAGUGAAAUAGUUCCUGAAACCGUGCGCCUACAAGCGGUCGGAGCUCGUUAAUGAGUGACGGCGUGCCUUUUGCAUAAUGAACCUACGAGUUGCCUUUGCCGGCAAGGUUAAGUGUGACGACACACGUAUCCGAAGCGAAAGCGAGUCUGAACAGGGCGUAUAGUCGGCAGUGGCAGACGCGAAACCAAGUGAUCUACCCUUGGCCAGGUUGAAGGCUGGGUAACACCAGCUGGAGGACCGCACCAAUAAGCGUUGAAAAGCUUCUGGAUGAGCUGAGGGUAGGGGUGAAAGGCUAAUCAAACUUGGAGAUAGCUCGUACUCCCCGAAAUGCAUUUAGGUGCAGCCUUGCGGGUUACUGAUGUGAGGUAGAGCGACUGAUAAGAUGCGAGGGCUUCACCGCCUAUCAAGUCUUGACAAACUCCGAAUGCGCAUCAGUUCUACCGCAGGAGUGAGGGCAUGGGUGCUAAGGUCCGUGCCCGAGAGGAGAAGAAUCCGGACCACCUGCUAAGGUCCCGAAAUGACAGCUAAGUUAAACUAACGAAGUCUGACUGCUAAGACAGCUAGGAUGUUGGCUUGGAAGCAGCCAUUCAUUUAAAGAGUGCGUAACAGCUCACUAGUCGAGGAGUCGGGCGUGGAUAAUAAUCGGGUAUCAAGUUGUCUACCGAAGCAGUGGGAUCAUUAAUAUGAUCGGUAGGGGAGCAUUCCAGUCAGCGUCGAAGGCGUACCGUGAGGUAUUCUGGAGCGUCUGGAAAAGCAAAUGUAGGUAUAAGUAACGAUAAAGGGGGCGGGAAACCCCCUCGCCGAAAGACUAAGGUUUCCUGAUCAACGCUAAUCGGAUCAGGGUCAGUCGGGUCCUAAGGCUCAGCCGAACGGCGAUGCCGAUGGCAGAAACGGUUAAUAUUCCGUUACUACCUUCAGGAGUGACGUGGAGACGCAGUAGUGACAGUGCCGCCAUCUGACGGAAUAGAUGGUUGAAGGGUGUAGGAGUCGAUCAUGGCAGGCAAAUCCACCAUGAGAUCCGAACCUGACAGUAUGCCGCGUCCUUCGGGACAAGGCAAUAGUGCGCGUAAGCAUGCUGCCGAGAAAAUCCGCUAAACUUAAUCCUGCAGGUACCCGUACCGCAAACGGACACACGUAGUCGGGAUGAAUAUUCUAAGGCGCUUGAGUGAUUCACGGUUAAGGAACUAGGCAAACUGACCCUGUAACUUCGGGAUAAAGGGUCCCUACCCUUUUAUGGGAGGGCGCAGAGAAUCGGUCCAGGCAACUGUUUAACAAAAACACAGGGCUGUGCCAAAUCGAAAGAUCCAGUAUACAGCCUGACACCUGCCCGGUGCUGGAAGGUUAAGAGGAGAUGUCAUCGAUAAGAGAAGCGUUGAAUUGAAGCCCCAGUAAACGGCGGCCGUAACUAUAACGGUCCUAAGGUAGCGAAAUUCCUUGUCGGGUAAGUUCCGACCUGCACGAAUGGUGUAAUGAUCUGGACGCUGUCUCAACCGUGAGCUCAGUGAAAUUGUAGUAUCGGUGAAGAUGCCGAUUACCCGCGAUGGGACGAAAAGACCCCGUGAACCUUUACUAUAGCUUAUCAUUGAAUCUGGGCACGUGAUGUGUAGGAUAGGUCGGAGGCUUUGAAGCAGGUACGCCAGUAUUUGUGGAGCCGCUGUUGAAAUACGACCCUUUAUUUGUUUGGAUUCUAACCCGUGGAACGGGGACAUUGAUUGGUGGGUAGUUUGACUGGGGUGGUCGCCUCCAAAAGCGUAACGGAGGCUUCUAAAGGUGCCCUCCGGCCGAUUGGUAACCGGCCUUAGAGUGUAAUGGCAUAAGGGCGCUUGACUGGGAGACUGACAAGUCGAUCAGGUAGGAAACUAGAGCAUAGUGAUCCGGUGUUUCCGUAUGGAAGGGACAUCGCUCAAAGGAUAAAAGGUACUCCGGGGAUAACAGGCUGAUCCCUCCCAAGAGCUCAUAUCGACGGAGUGGUUUGGCACCUCGAUGUCGGCUCGUCACAUCCUGGGGCUGGAGAAGGUCCCAAGGGUUGGGCUGUUCGCCCAUUAAAGUGGCACGCGAGCUGGGUUCAGAACGUCGUGAGACAGUUCGGUCUCUAUCUAUCGUGGGCGUAUGAAAUUUGCGUGGCUCUGACACUAGUACGAGAGGACCGUGUUGGACAGACCUCUGGUUUGCCGGUUGUGCCGCCAGGUGCAUUGCCGGGUAUCUAAGUCUGGAUCGGAUAAGUGCUGAAAGCAUCUAAGUACGAAGCCGGCCACAAGAUUAGAUUUCUCAGGGUCGUUGUAGACUACGACGUUGAUAGGAUGCAGGUGUAAAGAU
rnacentral:rRNA from 1 species